CUGAUUAAAAAAAUUUUAUUCACAUACAAGACAAGAAAUACGCUCAUAGAACUAUUAACCCAUUUGUAUUUGUAGCGUUCUUCUUUAUUCUCAACGAAGCCAUAAAGUUUGAUCACUUAUCAAAAUGCACGUUUCAACUUCAAAAUAUUUAGCAUUGCUACAAGAGAAAAUAUUUUGUUAUGGUCAAUACCAUAAUGUUGACAAUAUCUUUUGGCGACC
rnacentral:lncRNA from 1 species